GACGAACGCUGGCGGCGUGCUUAACACAUGCAAGUCGAACGGAAAGGCCCUGCUUUUGUGGGGUGCUCGAGUGGCGAACGGGUGAGUAACACGUGAGUAACCUGCCCUUGACUUUGGGAUAACUUCAGGAAACUGGGGCUAAUACCGGAUAGGAGCUCCUGCUGCAUGGUGGGGGUUGGAAAGUUUCGGCGGUUGGGGAUGGACUCGCGGCUUAUCAGCUUGUUGGUGGGGUAGUGGCUUACCAAGGCUUUGACGGGUAGCCGGCCUGAGAGGGUGACCGGCCACAUUGGGACUGAGAUACGGCACAGACUCCUACGGGAGGCAGCAGUGGGGAAUAUUGCACAAUGGGCGGAAGCCUGAUGCAGCAACGCCGCGUGCGGGAUGACGGCCUUCGGGUUGUAAACCGCUUUCGCCUGUGACGAAGCGUGAGUGACGGUAAUGGGUAGAGAAGCACCGGCUAACUACGUG
rnacentral:rRNA from 1 species